rnacentral:rRNA from 1 species
CAGGCCCUACGGGGCGCAGCAGGCGCGAAAACUGUGCAAUGCGCGAAAGCGCGACACGGGGAGCUUGAGUGUCUUGGCAUAGCCAAGACUUUUCUUAUGCCUAAAAAGCAUGAGGAAUAAGUGCUGGGUAAGACGGGUGCCAGCCGCCGCGGUAACACCCGCAGCACAAGUGGUGGUCACUUUUAUUGAGCCUAAAGCGUUCGUAGCCUGUUUUGUAAAUCUCCAGGUAAAUACUGAAGCUCAACUCCAGAAAGCCUGAAGAGACUGCAAGACUUGAGAUCGGGUGAGGUUGAACGUACUUUCAGGGUAGGGGUAAAAUCCUGUAAUCCUGGAAGGACGACCAGUGGCGAAAGCGUUCAACUAGAACGAAUCUGACGGUGAGGAACGAAGGCUAGGGUAGCAAACCGGAUUAGAUACCCGGGUAGUCCUAGCUGUAAACACUGCCCACUUGAUGUUGCUUUCCCGUUGAGGGAAGGCAGUGUCGGAGCGAAGGUGUUAAGUGGGCCGCUUGGGAAGUAUGGUCGCAAGACUGAAACUUAAAGGAAUUGGCGGGGGAGCACCGCAACGGGAGGAAUGUGCGGUUUAAUUGGAUUCAACGCCGGAAAACUCACCGGGAACGACCUGUGAAUGAGAGUCAACCUGACGAGUUUACUCGAUAGCAGGAGAGGUGGUGCAUGGCCGUCGUCAGCUCGUACCGUAGGGCGUUCACUUAAGUGUGAUAACGAGCGAGACCCACAUCUCUAAUUGCAAACAUAUAUGAGGAUAUAUGAGCACUUUAGAGAGACCGCCAGCGCUAAGCUGGAGGAAGGAGCGGUCGACGGCAGGUCAGUACGCCCCGAAUUUCCCGGGCUACACGCGCAUUACAAAGAACGGGACAAUGCGUUGCAACCUCGAAAGGGGAAGCUAACCGCGAAACCCGUCCAUAGUUAGGAUUGAGGGCUGUAACUCGCCCUCAUGAAUCUGGAUUCCGUAGUAAUCGCGGGUCAACAACCCGCGGUGAACAUGUCCCUGCUCCUUGCACAC